UACGUAGGUGGCAAGCGUUGUCCGGAUUUAUUGGGCGUAAAGCGCUCGCAGGCGGUCUUUUAAGUCUGAUGUGAAAUCUCGCGGCUCAACCGCGAACGGUCAUUGGAAACUGGAGGACUUGAGUGCAGAAGAGGAGAGUGGAAUUCCACGUGUAGCGGUGAAAUGCGUAGAGAUGUGGAGGAACACCGGUGGCGAAGGCGGCAUCCUGGACCAACACUGACGCUGAUGAGCGAAAGCCAGGGGAGCAAACGGG
rnacentral:rRNA from 1 species